UACGGGGGGAGCAAGCGUUGUUCGGAUUUACUGGGCGUAAAGGGCGCGUAGGCGGCGAUCACAGUCAGAUGUGAAAUUCCUGGGCUUAACCUGGGGGCUGCAUUUGAUACGUGGUUGCUUGAGUGGGGAAGAGGGUCGUGGAAUUCCCAGUGUAGAGGUGAAAUUCGUAGAUAUUGGGAAGAACACCGGUGGCGAAGGCGGCGACCUGGUCCUUGACUGACGCUGAGGCGCGAAAGCGUGGGGAGCAAACAGG
rnacentral:rRNA from 1 species